GGGCGUUUGGCGCAGUGGUAGCGCGUAUGCUUUGCAUCCGACGGUAUAAUCGUCAGUGCCUGCAUAAGGUCAAGGGUUCAAGCCCCUUAACGUCCA